rnacentral:lncRNA from 1 species
GAGGCUUGGAUAAGUUUGAAAAGCUUGUCGUCGAGAUCACCAAAAGCAGUUGGGGCAAAACGAGACUCCAAAGCCUGGAGGAACUACAGUCAUGAGUGGAUCUGCCCAUUGUGAUACAUCCAUUGGUACCAUACUAAUGUUGAUUAGUCAAGGUCAAAAGAGGCACAACAAUGAUAUGUUCUUCUGCAAGGGUAGCAUGGUAAUCAAAGAGCUGUGAGACUUUGAAAAUCAAGUUGUGAGGGUCAAGGCUGCCGAAAGGAGGAACAUCAAGCUUUAGGAAAUGACACUGUGAGGAAGUGGUUUCAACUGUGGAAUCGUACGAGUUGGCAGUAGAACGAACCUCCGAUGCUAGCACGAGUUUGGCAAUGUCGUCCAUGUGGUCAAUAAAGGAUGAUUGCAAGCGGGUCAAGCGUUGCACUAUAUCAUCAAGUUUGUCAGGGUGGGUACUGGAGUUUUUGGAUCGUGUUGCAACAACCAUGAGUCAGAGAAGGGAGAGGAGCUCUCAAUGAAAGCACCAAAUGAUGAGUAGUAUUCUUUGUAUUUAAGGCUAGAGAUACCUCCAAGAAGAAUGAUAGAAGAGAAUAGAAAUCAAAGU